rnacentral:rRNA from 1 species
GGUGAACGCUGGCGGCGUGCUUAAGACAUGCAAGUCGAACGGCAGUCUUCGGACUGUAGUGGCGCACGGGUGAGUAACGCGUAACUGACCUACCCCAAAGUCGCGGAUAACGAUUCGAAAGAAUCGCUAAUACGUGAUGUGCUGUCAGAUUGUGUUCUGCCAGUAAAGAUUGAUUGCUUUGGGAUGGGGUUGCGUUCCAUCAGCUAAUUGGUGGGGUAAAGGCCCACCAAGGCGACGACGGAUAGCCGGGCUGGAGGGGUGGCGGGCCACAGGGGCACUGAUACACGGGUCACACUCCGACGGGAGGCAGCAGUUAGGAAUCGUCCCCAAUGGGCGAAAGCCUGAUGGAGCGACGCCGCGUGAGGGAUGAAGGUCUUCGGAUCGUAAACCUCUGAAUCAGGGACGAAAGACACUUCGGUGGGAUGACGGUACCUGAGUAAUAGCACCGGCUAACUCCGUGCCAGCCGCCGCAGUAAGAC